rnacentral:rRNA from 1 species
AUCCAGACUCCUACGGGAGGCAGCAGUGGGGGAUAUUGCACAAUGGGGGGAACCCUGAUGCAGCGACGCCGCGUGGGUGAAGGAGUAUUUCGGUAUGUAAAGCCCUAUCGGCAGGGAAGAAGCAAGACGGUACCUGACUAAGAAGCCCCGACUAACUACGUGCCAGCAGCCGCGGUAAUACGUAGGGGGCGAGCGUUAUCCGGAUUCACUGGGUGUAAAGGGAGCGUAGACGGCCAUGCAAGCCAGGGGUGAAAGCCUGGGGCCCAACCCCGGGACUGCCCUUGGAACUGCGUGGCUGGAGUGCAGGAGGGGCAGGCGGAAUUCCUGGUGUAGCGGUGAAAUGCGUAGAUAUUAGGAGGAACACCAGUGGCGAAGGCGGCCUGCUGGACUGCAACUGACGUUGAGGCUCGAAGGCGUGGGGAGCAAACAGGAUUAGAUACCCCCGUA